GGACGCUCAUGAGGGUUUCGGCCCUUGUGGGAGUGGCAGACGGGUGAGUAGCGCGUGGGAACCUGCCUUGGAGUGGGGGAUAACCGAGGGAAACUUCGGCUAAUACCGCAUACGCCCCGGCGCGAGCUGGGGGAAAGAUUGAUCGCUCCAAGAGGGGCCCGCGUCGGAUUAGGUAGUUGGUGGGGUAACGGCCUACCAAGCCUGUGAUCCGUAGCUGGUCUGAGAGGAUGAUCAGCCACACUGGGACUGAGACACGGCCCAGACUCCUACGGGAGGCAGCAGUGGGGAAUAUUGGACAAUGGGCGCAAGCCUGAUCCAGCAAUGCCGCGUGAGUGAUGAAGGCCUUAGGGUUGUAAAGCUCUUUCGGCGGGGACGAUGAUGACGGUACCCGCAGAAGAAGCCCCGGCUAACUUCGUG
rnacentral:rRNA from 1 species